rnacentral:rRNA from 1 species
GGCCCAGACUCCUACGGGAGGCAGCAGUGAGGGAUAUUGGGCAAUGGGGGAAACCCUGACCCAGCGACGCCGCGUGAGGGAAGACGGUCUUCGGAUUGUAAACCUCUGUCUUUGGGGACGAAAAAGGACGGUACCCAAGGAGGAAGCCCCGGCUAACUACGUGCCAGCAGCUGCGGUAAUACGUAGGGGGCAAGCGUUAUCCGGAUUUACUGGGUGUAAAGGGAGCGUAGACGGCAGUGCAAGUCUGGAGUGAAAGGCGGGGGCUCAACCCCCGGACUGCUCUGGAAACUGUACGGCUGGAGUGCAGGAGAGGUAAGUGGAAUUCCUAGUGUAGCGGUGAAAUGCGUAGAUAUUAGGAGGAACACCAGUGGCGAAGGCGGCUUACUGGACUGUAACUGACGUUGAGGCUCGAAAGCGUGGGGAGCAAACAGGAUUAGAUACCCGAGUA